UAAGCAAUUGUGACGAGCGGCGGACGGGUGAGUAACGCGUGGGUAACCUGCCCUUUACUCGGGGAUAGCCUUUCGAAAGAAAGAUUAAUACCCGAUAGCAUAAUGAUUCCGCAUGGUUUCAUUAUUAAAGGAUUCCGGUAAAGGAUGGGGAUGCGUUCCAUUAGGUUGUUGGUGAGGUAACGGCCCACCAAGCCUUCGAUGGAUAGGGGUUCUGAGAGGAAGGUCCCCCACAUUGGAACUGAGACACGGUCCAA
rnacentral:rRNA from 1 species